GAGUUUGAUCAUGGCUCAGAUUGAACGCUGGCGGCAUGCCUUACACAUGCAAGUCGAACGGCAGCAUGAUCUAGCUUGCUAGAUUGAUGGCGAGUGGCGAACGGGUGAGUAAUACAUCGGAACGUGCCCUGUAGUGGGGGAUAACUAGUCGAAAGAUUAGCUAAUACCGCAUACGACCUGAGGGUGAAAGUGGGGGACCGCAAGGCCUCAUGCUAUAGGAGCGGCCGAUGUCUGAUUAGCUAGUUGGUGGGGUAAAGGCCCACCAAGGCGACGAUCAGUAGCUGGUCUGAGAGGACGAUCAGCCACACUGGGACUGAGACACGGCCCAGACUCCACGGGAGCAGCAGUGGGGAAUUUUGGACAAUGGGCGAAAGCCUGAUCCAGCAAUGCCGCGUGUGUGAAGAAGGCCU
rnacentral:rRNA from 1 species